rnacentral:rRNA from 1 species
UAUUGGGCGUAAAGCGUCCUCAGGUGGUCAGCCAAGUCUGCCGUCAAAUCAGGUUGCUUAACGACCUAAAGGCGGUGGAAACUGGCAGACUAGAGAGCAGUAGGGGUAGCAGGAAUUCCCAGUGUAGCGGUGAAAUGCGUAGAUAUCGGGAAGAACACCAGUGGCGAAGGCGCUCUGCUGGGCCAUAACUGACGCUCAUGGACGAAAGCCAGGGGAGCGAAAGGGAUUAGAUACCCCUAGUCCUGGCCGUAAACGAUGAACACUAGGUGUCGGGGGAAUCGACCCCCUCGGCGUCGUAGCCAACGCGUUAAGUGUUCCGCCUGGGGAGUACGCACGCAAGUGUGAAACUCAAAGGAAUUGACGGGGGCCCGCACAAGCGGUGGAGUAUGUGGUU